rnacentral:lncRNA from 1 species
UUAUCGCGCCGGCGCACCCUUGCGUUACGGUGCGCGCGGAAAACUGGGCAUGCGCAGAGUGUCGCAUAUACUGCAAGGAGCAGCCGGCUCGGCGCGCGAUGCGUCACCAGUCUCGCCAUUUUCAAGAUUCUGCAAACCGUCUGGCUGCGUUUUGUUCGCCAGCUGAAGGGCACUUUUUGGCAUCAAUCCAGACCGUGGCAGCAAGGGGAACAAGAAAACAAAGAAAGUCAACCCCAAAGUCCUCAGUCUGACGAAGAAAAUAAUGGAAUGUGAGUGGAAUGUUUAGAUUUUGAAAGACAGA